rnacentral:snoRNA from 1 species
AUUCCAUUAUGAUGACUUAAUUCAGUUCUGCUUCUGAAUGAGUUUUGAAGAAGCUUUUACCCACACAUCUGAAUA